UUCAAAUCCGAUGACGGGAGGCUUUUUCGAGGGGUUGUUCGAUUUCUGCACGC
rnacentral:tRNA from 1 species